rnacentral:lncRNA from 1 species
CGCUGGUUGACGUCACGCCGGCGACCCCGGAUGGUAGCGCAGCUCUGCCUGGCCCCUUCCGUAACCUCUGUUUCGCCCCUUCCGAAACCAGUGGCGAAAAGCCGAGACGACUUCGUGAGUUCUUGCUAACGAUUCUCGGCCUAGGCGCUGAGUCGAGUCACGCUGGAUCUCGGACAGGGAUUGCAAGGACUUUGGAGUGAUCAGUGUAAAAUCUCACCCUUUCCUACUUGCCAAGAAAACCCUGGACAAGAGUCUUGAAUUUUGACGCCCUGUCUCCUCAUUCAUAAAGGGGGGAUAAAAAUGUCUCCUAAGGCUAUAAAGAAGAAAUCUUUGUGAAAUAUGAUAAUGAUUGGUUUUCAUUCACUCGACAUUUUCUGAGAACUUUGCCCAAGACUGAUGGGGACAGUGACUGCAGUGGCGAAACCUACAAGCAAAGUCCCUUUCAUGAUGAAAUUGACGUUUUAAGAAAUCUGCAACUUUUAAUAGGAUCCGUAAAGAAAACAAAGCAGUUCUGAGGUGAAGUGAAUUCCCUAAGCCCUGAGUACAAUAACUGUGGUGUCUGUGAAAUAGAACUUCCAAACUUCCUCAUGCUGAAGACAAGCGCCGAGGAAGUUUAAACUAAUAUUCUUAGGCUGGCUAAGCACAACCUAGAGCUUGUUUCUAUAAUCUAUAUAGAAUCUAUAAUCUAUAUCCAUCCUAAUCUUUGUUUCUAUAAAUUGUAACCAUUCUGUAGGACCAGUGGAGAAACAUGGUAGUUGCUUCUCCUCGUUUUGAUUAAACUGCAUAAAAUCAUUUUUUUCUUUUACAUCCUUUGCUUACAGCUUAGGCCGGUAGGUAGCAUAAUCCAGCCAGCCAGGAUCCAGGCCAGGCGGAGUCUCUUGCUUGGCUGCAGGUAACACUUGUUAAGUUGUUGUAUGGUAGCAGAGAGGAGAGAAUCAGGCUUCUGUUUCGUUUUCUUUUCAGGAGUAGGGGUGAGAGCAGCUCAGCACCUACAGUACCUGAAAACGCCUAGAAUGGAUAUGUCCUUAGUUGUUGAUGACAGGCAAGCUGUGACAUGUUUUUUAAAACAAGCAGGAAAAGAUCUCAACUCAACUGCACUUUUACAGCUUAUCACAAGCUUCUCAAACUAACAUGACCUUUUUUGUUUGUUUAUUUGGAGGGGGGUGAUGCAAAAGAUGUGUCUUGUCUUUGUUUCCAUGUUUGGGAAUGACACCAUAAUCUACUCAGCCUGAUGGUUAAUUCCAUCUUUCUUACCCUCUCAUAUUCAUGUAAGACCAUAUGUCCUCCAGUUCCAAAUGUGGAACAAGCAAUCACAGGCAUGUGCCACCAUAUUCCCUGAGAAUAUAUUAAAAAUAUAUUUUUAAAAAAGAAAAGGAAAAAAAAAGGCACUGGAUAUAGUUGUUGUUGUUGUUGUUUUAAGGCAUUCUGCCAGGUGUGGUGCUGCAUGCCUGUAAUACCAACAAUUUGGAAGGGUAGGCAGAAUGAUUACAAGUUUGAGGCCAGCCUCAGCAAUUUAGCAAGGACCUAAACAACUUAAGACUGAAAAAGGACUGAGGAUGUGUUAAGAGCUAUGGCCUUCUGGGAAACUGAGGUAGAACAAAGACACCCCCCCCUUUAAAGCCCAAUUCUAGCUAUCAAGUCAGAUAUCAAAUGCAUCACUCAAGAGUAACAGGCAUGAGUUUAUUGAAGGGACAGGAAAAGAGAAAAGGGACACUCUAGGGAUAGAAUGGGUCCUCUCAGGGAGGAGAGAGACAGUGUGCCUUUCCUGCACUACAGUUUUAUUGGGGAUCCCAGAGAAGUUUCCAGAGAGUCCUGUGAGGUUCACCUCUUGACUUUUGACUAACAGGAAGAUGACAUCAGACUUUCAAAUCCCCACUGCCAUGACAACUCUAGAUCACCUUGGCUCAUCUCUACCGGUUCUAAUUGGAUUCUUAGCCAAAGAUUCUUACAGAUUUUAUGGUUAGAGGGAAUUAUCCGUACCCCCUGAGUUUCAGGAUCUGGUCUGGGUAAAGGGCCACAAAAUUUCCACCCUCAGGGUAACUUGGGUUCCUUAUCAACAUUAACUGGGUCCUGCAUUUCUCCUGCAGGUAACACGUAGUUUGCUGAGGAAUGUGCCAUAUCCUGUCUACUUAACC